GUUAUUUGUUUAUGCAGUAAUAUUUCUCAUAACUGGGAGAAUCAGUUCAUCUGUUGUCAACUCUCAAACAGGAAAGACUGACAUGUUGUUGUUAGUUCUGUAUUUGCAGUUAAGGGUAAGGCAUGCUACUCACUUCUGAGCCCGCUGCAGCUUUGCUAGUUCUUUCUUUGCUGCACUUGACCCUAUUACCGGAGAGCAAUCAAGAUGGGACGACAAAGACAGUUGAUUUGUGCCAAAAAUGCAGAACAUCUUUUUACAAACAGACAUGCCCUUCACAACAACUUUGCGAAUGUGAUUUGACCAUGAUAAUUGACCAUCCAGUGUUAUACCUAGGAAUUUAGCUUCCUGAACGACAUGAAAUCGCAAAACUUGUGCACCACGUCAUACACAAUCGCCCUCUAGGCCACCAUAAUUACUCCAUUCUUCAACUGGUCAUUCAGUACAGUACCGUUUCCUCUGAAUUAAACAGCAUGCUGUCAUACUGAAUUACACCCCUGAACAAUAUACACUGCAGUUAAUAAACAAUAUGGGUGUGACCAUUUGAAAUCUCACUAUGCAGUACAGUACCGUUUCCGUAGGUAACUGUUGAUAUAAAGCCACUUAACAGGCACAAGUUCAAUCACAUUCAAAGAAUAAAAGAGACAGUAAACUUUCUCUGGGGACAGGCUUGAAGCAUAGCAGUGCUCUGCUCUACAUGUUGCAGAUAUCAGAAGAGGUGCCCUACACAUUCAAUUUAAAGAUGGCCACAGAAGGCUGGUACCAGUCUCCAGGUUCUGCAAGAGAGCAAUUCAUGAAAACUGAACUUAAUCUACGACAUACUGGAUUCAGGAGCUAAAAUUUUUUUUUUUAACCUUUUUUUCCUUCAAUGAUGCAGACAUUUUUUGGUAUCCUUCCCCAGAUCUGUGCCUCGACACAAUCCUGUCUCGGAGCUCUACGGAUCAUUCCAUGGCUUGGUUUUUGUCUGACAUGUGUGUGCGCCUUUCCAAAUCAUGUCCAAUCAAUUGAAUUUCACAGGUGGACUGCACUCAAGUUGUAGAUAAUUGACCUCAGAUGCAUCCUUUUUCCAUUUGAGUCUCAUAGCAAAGGGUCUGAAUACUUAUGUAAAUAAUGUUUUUUGAUUUGUAAUAAAUUCGCAAAAA
ensembl:lncRNA